rnacentral:rRNA from 1 species
AUGGCUCCUACCGAGGCUGAGGCUGAUGUAGAGGAGGGAGAAGAGAAGAAGAAGAGGGAAAGGAAAGCCGCCGGAGCUGCUUUCAUGUGGAUUCAAAAUAACUUUGCGACGUGCCCUCCGGAUGCCACUGACGAUGUGAUCCAGACACAUGCUCGUGUCUAUAUGUGGUACGUUGUGUCGAGGACUUUGUUUCCUGACUCCACUGGCAAGAACGCUCCAUGGAUGUGGCUGAAGGCAUUGACCGUCUAUAGCAAAUGGAGCUGGGGUUCAGCGACUCUUGCCUACUUGUACCGACAGGUAGUUGGUCUAUUUUGUGAUCAACUCAUUUCUUCAUUAGCAAUGCAAGCUUGCUGUCAAGUUAACAUUGUUUUUCUUUCAUAUGUAGCUGGACGAUGCGUGUUGUAG